AAAAAUGAUAACAAUGUUAUAAAUUAACACGAACCCCCCCAAAAAACAAAAAAACAACAACAACCUUACCGAAGACCGAGUUGUUCAUGAGUUUGAAGAAGUUCUUCUCACCGAGUUGGAGAUACAGUUGCAGGUUGCGAUAGUGAAGUACAUAAUUCUGUUUGUUUUCUAAAGUGGUGAGUAAUUUUUCCACCUUUGCUCUGGGUGGAAGUUCCUCACUGUUGUGUAAAUGUUUCAACACAUGUUGAGCAUAAGGAGAUAAUUUUUCAUUGGGUGUGAAUUUACGUUCCGGAGCUAAUGGGUAGUCGUUAUGACUGUCAUGUAAAUGUUUUGGAUAUUCUAGAUCUACUUCUAGAAUAUACCCCUUAGAUCCAUCCUCUGGUAUUUUUUCAGGUUCAAAAGUAUCAAUUUCUUCCUUCUGUAAAAACUUAAAGAAUGUUACUAACUCGGAAACUCAAUAGUAAAUGAACUAGUUUGUCAAAUGUUUUGGUGGGAAAAUAUUCCACCAAAAUGUGAAUUUGGAGGGAAAAAAGUUCGCCAAACAUUUGAAUUUUAAACAUUUGAAUUUCAAAUACUAUAGGGAAUCCAUUUCAAUUUGUUAAUUAUCUUUGUUUUUCCCCUUUUGUUUUGUUUUGACUUUAUUUCUUUGAGAUUCUCAUUUUUUUUCUUAUUUUUUUUUUUAGGUUUUUCAAAAAACUUGUUUAAACGUUUCACGACUAGUCUUUUCUGUAAAUUUCCGUCAUUUUGAAUUGAUUUUUUCUGUAACUUCCCGCCAUUUUGAGUCAACCUUUUCUGUGAAUUCUUACCAUUUUGUUGUAAUACCAUGUUAUUGUUUUUAGAAGGUUGACUGUUUUGUAAACUUCCAUCACAUUUAGAGAGUAGAAAUACAAUGGGGGUUUGAUGUGGAAAGAUGUCUGUACGAAGUUUAUAUAACGGGUUAGAAUGUGGACUUACAUCCACCAGAAGCUUGGGGAUGUCUCGCCAGAACUUAGACAGAAUGCUGGAGAACUACGAUACAACUUCACAUUAACAUCCACUUGGUUUAACAGAUCGAGAUAGUCCAUCGAAUUCUGACCACUGAUUUGAAACUCAAUGGGAGUAUCAUCCGACACUUGGGAUAUUGGACGAAUCUCUUGAUAAUGGACAUCAUUCACCGCAACUUGUGUAGGAGCUCACUUUUCGCCUGGUUUACUGUCUGUUCCGAUGGGGAAACUGUGCUGAUUGUCAUACCAUUACUUCCCAUCUUCGACUUGUGUGGAAUGGCAAAUCCCCUCCCAACUUGAGAUCAUCCGGGGAUAUCGCCAUAUUGAAAACCCGCCAGAGGUUCGGUCCACGUCCAUGGUGCUCGGGAUGAGUCAUUGGAGGACGAAGAUCGGGUGUCCUUAUGCUGCCAUGAAAUGUCGUUUUUAUGAUGUCCAAUUAUGUUCAAAAAUAAACAACUUGGAGAAUGUG